GGGACACGUGGUAUCCUGUCUGAAUAUGGGGGGACCAUCCUCCAAGGCUAAAUACUCCUGACUGACCGAUAGUGAACCAGUACCGUGAGGGAAAGGCGAAAAGAACCCCGGCGAGGGGAGUGAAAAAGAACCUGAAACCGUGUACGUACAAGCAGUGGGAGCACGCUUAGGCGUGUGACUGCGUACCUUUUGUAUAAUGGGUCAGCGACUUAUAUUCUGUAGCAAGGUUAACCGAAUAGGGGAGCCGAAGGGAAACCGAGUCUUAACUGGGCGUUAAGUUGCAGGGUAUAGACCCGAAACCCGGUGAUCUAGCCAUGGGCAGGUUGAAGGUUGGGUAACACUAACUGGAGGACCGAACCGACUAAUGUUGAAAAAUUAGCGGAUGACUUGUGGCUGGGGGUGAAAGGCCAAUCAAACCGGGAGAUAGCUGGUUCUCCCCGAAAGCUAUUUAGGUAGCGCCUCGUGAAUUCAUCUCCGGGGGUAGAGCACUGUUUCGGCAAGGGGGUCAUCCCGACUUACCAACCCGAUGCAAACUGCGAAUACCGGAGAAUGUUAUCACGGGAGACACACGGCGGGUGCUAACGUCCGUCGUGAAGAGGGAAACAACCCAGACCGCCAGCUAAGGUCCCAAAGUCAUGGUUAAGUGGGAAACGAUGUGGGAAGGC
rnacentral:rRNA from 1 species